UACGUAGGGGCCUAGCGUUGUCCGGAUUUAUUGGGCGUAAAGAGCUCGUAGGCGGUUCGGUAAGUCAGGUGUGAAAUCUCCACGCUCAACGUGGAGGCGCCACCUGAAACUGCCGUGACUCGAGUCCGGGAGAGGGAUGCGGAAUUCCAGGUGUAGCGGUGAAAUGCGUAGAUAUCUGGAGGAACACCGGUGGCGAAGGCGGCAUCCUGGACCAACACUGACACUGAGGAGCGAAAGCCAGGGGAGCAAACGGG
rnacentral:rRNA from 1 species